rnacentral:rRNA from 1 species
AGAGUUUGAUCAUGGCUCAGAUUGAACGCUGGCGGCAUGCCUUACACAUGCAAGUCGAACGGCAGCACGGGGGCAACCCUGGUGGCGAGUGGCGAACGGGUGAGUAACACAUCGGAACGUACCCAGUUGUGGGGGAUAACCAGUCGAAAGACGGGCUAAUACCGCAUGAUCUGGCGACAGCAAAGCGGGGGAUCGGUAACGACCUCGCGCGAUUGGAGCGGCCGAUGUCCGAUUAGCUAGUUGGUGGGGUAAAGGCCCACCAAGGCUUUGAUCGGUAGCUGGUCUGAGAGGAUGAUCAGCCACACUGGGACUGAGACACGGCCCAGACUCCUACGGGAGGCAGCAGUGGGGAAUUUUGGACAAUGGGGGCAACCCUGAUCCAGCCAUGCCGCGUGAGUGAAGAAGGCCUUCGGGUUGUAAAGCUCUUUCGGUAGGAACGAAACGGUUACGGCUAAUACCUGUGACUAAUGACGGUACUUACAGAAGAAGCACCGGCUAACUACGUGCCAGCAGCCGCGGUAAUACGUAGGGUGCGAGCGUUAAUCGGAAUUACUGGGCGUAAAGGGUGCGCAGGCGGUCUCGUAAGCUGGGUGUGAAAGCCCCGGGCUUAACCUGGGAAUGGCAUUCAGGACUGCGAGGCUUUGAGUGCGGCAGAGGGAGGUGGAAUUCCCGUGUAGCAGUGAAAUGCGUAGAGAUGUGGAGGAACACCGAUGGCGAAGGCAGCCUCCUGGGCCAGCACUGACGCUCAUGCACGAAAGCGUGGGGAGCAAACAGGAUUAGAUACCCUAGUAGUCC